AGCGCAGGCGGGAAGACAAGUUGGAAGUGAAAUCCAUGGGCUCAACCCAUGAACUGCUUUCAAAACUGUUUUUCUUGAGUAGUGCAGAGGUAGGCGGAAUUCCCGGUGUAGCGGUGGAAUGCGUAGAUAUCGGGAGGAACACCAGUGGCGAAGGCGGCCUACUGGGCACCAACUGACGCUGAGGCUCGAAAGCAUGGGUAGCAAACA
rnacentral:rRNA from 1 species